rnacentral:lncRNA from 1 species
GAGGAAGAGGCCAAAGAAGAGGAAGGCAACCAAGGAUGAAUCAAAAACUUCCAAAGGUGAAACGACAAAUUGGGCUUUGACGAGCUUCGACUACAAGGUAAGUAACUCAACUCUCUUGAAUUAUUUUGAAAUUACAUAAUGUUAGGAUCGGAGCGGCACUAAGAGGGGGGGUGAAUUAGUGCAGCGGAUUAAAACGUUGGUUUUGACAAAUCUUUCGUACGAUAAAAAUCGAACUUGGAAGUGCUUAACUUGAAAGCGUAUUUGUAAAGUUGUGCAGCAAAGGUAAUAAGGAAAUAAAGCAUGUAAGAAGGUUUGUAGUAAUGUAAAUAGCAAUAAUGAAAUGCAAACUAGAGAUCAC